UACGUAGGGUGCGAGCGUUAAUCGGAAUUACUGGGCGUAAAGCGUGCGCAGGCGGUUCGUUGUGUCGGCGGUGAAAGCCCCGGGCUCAACCUGGGAAUGGCCGUUGAAACUGGCGAACUGGAGUGUGGCAGAGGGGGGUGGAAUUCCGCGUGUAGCAGUGAAAUGCGUAGAGAUGCGGAGGAACACCGAUGGCGAAGGCAGCCCCCUGGGUUAAGACUGACGCUCAUGCACGAAAGCGUGGGGAGCAAACAGG
rnacentral:rRNA from 1 species